UGUCUAUUCUUGAUAAAAAAUAUAAACUCACAAACCCAAGAUGCUCUGUAUGCCCAAAACACAAGAAACAAUGAAAACUACACCAAGGCACAUCACAAUACAAUGGCUCAAAACCAAUAAUAAAGAGAAAGUCUGUAAAAUAGUCAUAUUUUGCAGAGGGGAACAAAGAUAAAGAUGGCAGCAGAUUUCAUGCUGAAAACAGUCCCAGUCCAGAGGACAGUGGAGCAACAUUUUUAAAGUACUUAGAAUAACUCUCAACCUAGAAUACUAUAAACAGUGAAAACAUAUUUCAAAAUGAAAGUGAAUUAGAGAUUUUUUUUAGACACAGAAAAAAAUGAAAGAAUUCAUCACCAGCACAAAUGAGAACAAAACUGGGAACAUCAUACUUUCUGAUUUGAAAACAUAUUACAAAGCUAUAGCAACAAAACAGUAUGAUACUGGCAUAAUGACAGAUGUAUAGACUGAUGGAACAGAAGUCUCAGAAAUAAAUUCUUGCCUAUAUGGUCAGAUAUCUUCAACAUGGGUGCCAAGAGUACACAGUGGGUGAAAGAUAGUCUCUUCAAGAAAUGAUGUUGAGAAAACUGGAUAUCCACAUGCAAAAGAAAUGUUAGACUCUUAUGCUAUAUAUAAGAAAUAAGUCAAAGUGGAUUAAAGUCCUAAAGAUAAGACCUGAAACUAUAAAACUCCUAGAAAAACACACAGGGGAAAGUUUCAUGAUACUGGAUUCGGCAGUGACUUCAUGGACAUGGUACUAGAAGCACAGGCAACAAAAUCAAAAUAGACAAACAGGACUACAUCAAAUUUAAAACUUCUGCACAGCAAAGGAAAUGGGCAACACUGUGAAAUGCAGUCUACAGAAUGGAAAAAAUAUAUUUGCAAACACAUUAGAUAAAGAGUUAAUAUCCAGAAUAAAUCAAGAAAUCUUAUGAUUCAGUAUUAACAAAAACACUCUGAUUUUAAAAUGGGCAAAAGAUUUGAAUAGACAUUUCUCAGCAAAAGAGAAAAUGUUUAAUGAGCAUAUGAAAAGAUGUUCAACAUCACCAAAUAUGAAGGGGAAGCAAGUAAAAACCUUUAUGAGAUCACCUCACACUCAUUAGUCUGGCUGGCUUUUUUUUUUUUUUUUAAGCAGAAAAUAGCUAUUGGUGAGGAUGUGGAAAAAUUGGAAUACUUGUGCACUGUUUAUGGUAA